AUCCUGCAAGACUUCAUUCAGAGGUAUGAUGAGAACUCAAAUUAGUUGCUGAUUCGAAUUGUCAUGCAUCAGCAUCGAAUCAUCAACUAAUUUGAGUUCUCAUCAUACCUCUUAAUAAAGUCUUCCAGGAU